CAUCUUUAUAGAAAGUAUGAGAAAAAGUUUAAUUGUGGAACUGUGAUUUUUUUCAUGAUGAUAGCCCAAAAAUAGGUAAAAAUCGAUGAAAACGGAAAAUCAUCAAAUUGGCAUUUUCAAAGGGCCGUAGCAAAAAAAGAAGUGCACCACCAUAUGACUUUUUCUUUACCAAUUAUUUUGUUACAGUCUUAUAAACCCAAAAAUCAGGUUAAGAAAAAAGUUUAAUUUUAGAAAUUUUUGGCUCUUCAGAAGUGUACAUCCUUAAUGAAGCUAGUGAAACAUGGACUUAAAGCAAAUGCAUUUGAAGUUAUGUGUUUGACUGUUAUACGGACGCCAUGCUUUUGUUUAGAAUAUAUGAAUACCUGUAUCACAGAGACCUUAGAUAUAUUCGAUUAGUCGUAGUUAGCAACCCGGUCCUCCUUGUCUUGUUAAGACGGAUAAUACGUUUCUAAGCAACGAAAAGCACCGUCAAUAAGAAGGGUGUCCAUCAUGGUGCAGGAGCUGAUUCCCUUCGUUAACACAUGCGUUCAUUCAAAAUUGGGGUCUUUCAUCUCAUUCUCAAUGUCAUGUGAAAAAAAGGUGAAAUCACAAAAAUACUGAACUCCGAGAAAAUUUCAAAACGGAAAGAAAUCCCUAAUCCAAGCAUUUUGUGUCUUCUCGUUAGUCUCAGAAUGGUAAGUAGUUUCUUUUACUCAAGCUGGCUAUGUUAGUCAAGCAAAACAAC
rnacentral:lncRNA from 1 species